UGGCAGGUUAGGUUAACUGUUACGAUAUAGCUGUGAAGUGCUAUAUUGUCAUUUCCCCUGCCAAAAGCAAUUGUUUCCUACAAUCUCUGUCUAACUCCAUUCUGUAGUAAGACAGGGACGCUUGGUCUCAAACAU
ensembl:snoRNA SNORA63 Small nucleolar RNA SNORA63